rnacentral:rRNA from 1 species
AGUGAACGCUGGCGGUAGGCCUAACACAUGCAAGUCGAACGGCAGCACAGUAAGAGCUUGCUCUUACGGGUGGCGAGUGGCGGACGGGUGAGGAAUACAUCGGAAUCUACUUUUUCGUGGGGGAUAACGUAGGGAAACUUACGCUAAUACCGCAUACGCCCUACGGGUGAAAGCAGGGGAUCUUCGGACCUUGCGCGAUUGAAUGAGCCGAUGUCGGAUUAGCUAGUUGGCGGGGUAAAGGCCCACCAAGGCGACGAUCCGUAGCUGGUCUGAGAGGAUGAUAAGCCACACUGGAACUUAGACACGGUCCAGACUCCUACGGGAGGCAGCAGUGGGGAAUAUUGGACAAUGGGCGCAAGCCUGAUCCAGCCAGACCGCGUGGGUGAAGAAGGCCUUCGGGUUGGAAAGCCCUUUUGUUGGGAAAGAAAAGCAGCAGGUUAAUACCCCGCUGUUCUGACGGUACCCAAAGAAUAAGCACCGGCUAACUUCGUG